rnacentral:rRNA from 1 species
CCUACGGGUGGCAGCAGUGAGGAAUAUUGGUCAAUGGGCGCGAGCCUGAACCAGCCAAGUAGCGUGAAGGAUGACUGCCCUACGGGUUGUAAACUUCUUUUAUAAAGGAAUAAAGUGAGGCACGUGUGCUUUUUUGCAUUUACUUUAUGAUUAAGGACCGGCUACCUCCUUGCCGGCAGCGGCGGUAAUACGGAGGAUCCGAGGGUUAUCCGGAUUUAUUGGGUUUAAAGGGAGCGUAGUUGGGUUGUUAAGUCAGUUGUGAAAGUUUGCGGCUCAACCGUAAAAUUGCAUUUGAUACUGGCAGCCUUGAGUACAGUUGAGGUAGGCGGAAUUCGUGGUGUAGCGGUGAAAUGCUUAGAUAUCACGAAGAACUCCGAUUGCGAAGGCAGCCUACUAAACUGCAACUGACAUUGUUGCUCGAAAGUGUGGGUAUCAAACAGGAUUAGAUACCCCUGUAGUC